rnacentral:piRNA from 1 species
UGAGUGCAGGACACGAGUGUCCCGUG